CACACUGCCGAGAAAAGCCUCUAGAUAGAAAAUAGGUGCCCGUACCGCAAACCGACACAGGUAGUCAAGAUGAGAAUUCUAAGGUGAGCGAGCGAACUCUCGUUAAGGAACUCGGCAAAAUGACCCCGUAACUUCGGGAGAAGGGGUGCUCUUUAGGGUUAACGCCCAGAAGAGCCGCAGUGAAUAGGCCCAAGCGACUGUUUAUCAAAAACACAGGUCUCUGCUAAACCGUAAGGUGAUGUAUAGGGGCUGACGCCUGCCCGGUGCUGGAAGGUUAAGAGGAGUGGUUAGCUUCUGCGAAGCUACGAAUCGAAGCCCCAGUAAACGGCGGCCGUAACUAUAACGGUCCUAAGGUAGCGAAAUUCCUUGUCGGGUAAGUUCCGACCCGCACGAAAGGCGUAACGAUUUGGGCACUGUCUCAACGAGAGACUCGGUGAAAUCAUAGUACCUGUGAAGAUGCAGGUUACCCGCGACAGGACGGAAAGACCCCGUGGAGCUUUACUGUAGCCUGAUAUUGAAAUUCGGCACAGCUUGUACAGGAUAGGUAGGAGCCUUUGAAACGUGAGCGCUAGCUUACGUGGAGGCGCUGGUGGGAUACUACCCUAGCUGUGUUGGCUUUCUAACCCGCACCACUUAUCGUGGUGGGAGACAGUGUCAGGCGGGCAGUUUGACUGGGGCGGUCGCCUCCUAAAAGGUAACGGAGGCGCUCAAAGGUUCCCUCAGAAUGGUUGGAAAUCAUUCAUAGAGUGUAAAGGCAUAAGGGAGCUUGACUGCGAGACCUACAAGUCGAGCAGGGUCGAAAGACGGACUUAGUGAUCCGGUGGUUCCGCAUGGAAGGGCCAUCGCUCAACGGAUAAAAGCUACCCCGGGGAUAACAGGCUUAUCUCCCCCAAGAGUUCACAUCGACGGGGAGGUUUGGCACCUCGAUGUCGGCUCAUCGCAUCCUGGGGCUGUAGUCGGUCCCAAGGGUUGGGCUGUUCGCCCAUUAAAGCGGUACGCGAGCUGGGUUCAGAACGUCGUGAGACAGUUCGGUCCCUAUCCGUCGUGGGCGUAGGAAAUUUGAGAGGAGCUGUCCUUAGUACGAGAGGACCGGGAUGGACAUACCUCUGGUGUACCAGUUGUCGUGCCAACGGCAUAGCUGGGUAGCUAUGUGUGGACGGGAUAAGUGCUGAAAGCAUCUAAGCAUGAAGCCCCCCUCAAGAUGAGAUUUCCCAACUUCGGU
rnacentral:rRNA from 1 species